UACAUCCCAUUAACGGAGAAAAGUACCAGGCGGCACUAUUCAAAAGAGAGGAAGCGGCAUUAGCUGAAAGCCCUUCUGUUUAUCCGUUUGAGAAAGACACUUCACAGGGCCUCAUUCGAACCGUUUUCUACGCAGUAGGAUGAGACGUAACACAGGCGUUAACUGUGAUAAGCGGAAGUAAUUGGAUUGUACUUCAAGUUUGGGUGGCACCGCGGGUUAUACUCGUCCCUCUG
rnacentral:ncRNA from 1 species